AAAAAAAGUGUGCAUCUCCUCAUGUCAGAUACUGGCUCAAUGACAGACUCAGCACAGAGCGGCUGUUUUCUUUGGAAAAAUCAAAUACAAUCCUCCAGUUACUUUAAGACAAGCCUCUAGUUCUCUAGUCAGCUCAUGUCUUCAGCAUCCCCAUUCAUGCACGGAAAGUCCUGCUCUCACAAAAAGAAAAAGCAGGAUUAUUUGUUCUAGCCUUUCAGAGCCCGUUCCUCCUGUAUCCCUGUGCUCCUCGUCUUUCUGUUCCUCUGCAAGGUCACCUGAAGGAGACCAGUGCUCCCUAAGGAUUUGGAGGAACAAUGCAAUAGUUUUUUGCUGCAUUUUAAGAGGACACACUUAGAGGCAUCUUUUUUUUUUUCAUUGCCGGGAUACAGUAUUCUUUUAAGCCAUUCUGUAUCUAAAACAACUAUCUCAGCCCAAACUCAUGUCAACUGGUUUCUGACCAUGAAAUUGCUAGAUAGAUCACAAACUAUAUCAUGAAUAUGUAAAAACUUUAAGGCAAGGCAAGGCAAGGCAAGUUUAUUUGUAUAGCACAAUUCGUACACAAAGUAAUUCAAGGUGCUUCACAAAACAGAAAAAUGCAUUAAAAUCACAAUACAUCAUAGAAAUAAUCAACGUAAAAUUUACUUUAAAAGAAAAGAAAAAAAUUGAAAAAUGAUUUAAAAAUAAAGGAAGGAAAGGAAAGAAAAGUGCACAUAGGACCUUUCAGUCAUAUACACGGCUAAACAGAAAUGUUUUAAGUCUAGAUUUGAACAUGAACACAGAAGAGGCCUGUCUUACGACUUCAGGGAGGCUGUUCCAGAUUUUAGCUGCAGAAUAUUGAAACGCUGAUUCCCCUUGUUUAGUUCUGACUCUGGGUAUCAACAGGAGGCCGGUCCCUGAGGUCCUUAGAGAACGAGAUGGUUCAUAUGGCACUAACAUGUCAGAG
rnacentral:lncRNA from 1 species